GAUGAACGCUGACAGAAUGCUUAACACAUGCAAGUCUACUUGAACUUCGGUUUGGGUGGCGGACGGGUGAGUAACGCGUAAAGAACUUGCCUCACAGAUAGGGACAACAUUUGGAAACGAAUGCUAAUACCUGAUAUUAUGAUUUUAGGGCAUCCUAGAAUUAUGAAAGCUAUAUGCACUGUGAGAGAGCUUUGCGUCCCAUUAGCUAGUUGGAGAGGUAACGGCUCACCAAGGCGAUGAUGGGUAGCCGGCCUGAGAGGGUGAUCGGCCACAAGGGGACUGAGACACGGCCCUUACGCCUACGGGAGGCAGCAGUGGGGAAUAUUGGACAAUGGACCAAGAGUCUGAUCCAGCAAUUCUGUGUGCACGAUGAAGUUUUUCGGAAUGUAAAGUGCUUUCAGUUGGGAAGAAAAAAAUGACGGUACCAACAGAAGAAGUGACGGCUAAAUACGUG
rnacentral:rRNA from 1 species